rnacentral:rRNA from 1 species
CGUGCAGGCGGUCUGUUAAGUUCAGGGUGAAAGCUCCCGGCUCAACUGGGAGAGGUCCUUGGAUACUGGCAGACUUGAGGGAGGUAGAGGAGAGUGGAAUUCCCGGUGUAGUGGUGAUAUGCGUAGAUAUCGGGAGGAACACCAGUGGCGAAGGCGGCUCUCUGGGCCUUUCCUGACGCUGAGACGCGAAAGCGUGGGGAGCGAACCGGAUUAGAUACCCGGGUAGUCCACGCCGUAAACUAUGAACACUAGGUGUGGGGGGUAUCGACCCCUCCGUGCCGCAGCUAACGCAAUAAGUGUUCCGCCUGGGGAGUACGGCCGCAAGGCUAAA